ACAAGCAAAUACUAGUUUGUCUUUUUACUUAAAAAUGGCAUGUUUAAUUCAGUACAUUACUUGCAGUUUCUUUGUCAUGUAUUGUUCUAAAAUACAUAUGUAAAUUUAAAUACAAUCUCCUAAGUAAUAUUUACUUAUUGUUCGCCAUCUAAUCAAAUCACACCAACAAAUGAACAACUCAAGUAAAAUAUACUCAGUACAGCAAGAUAAUUGAUGCGCAUGCGUCUUUGACUUUGAGUCUGAAGUGACGAGCACAGAGGAAAGGAAGGGAGACUUCACGACGGCUAAUUUGAAUUUUACCACGAUAUUGCACCCACUAUUCAAGCUAAUGCAAGAUAAAAAAUGAAUUCAGAAGAAUCACCACAAUUUCCUUGGAGUGUACAUUCUUGUAAAAGCUGGACUUCUAUAACCCAAAACUCCUGGCUUUGUUUGAGAUGAAGGGUGGGGUUGCUGGCAUAAGAAUUAAACAUUUGCUGGAUUCACUCAGCUAGCAAGAAGAUAGCCUUGAAGAUAGGUGAGAUGUUGUGAUUCGCUACCUCCUAUAUUUCCUGGGAGAAUCAGCUGAGGAGCUCAUUAAAGACCACCAGGAUAUCAGCAGAGACAUGAUUAAGGAUACCUUCUUCAGUCAUGUCAUUAAAAUCAUCGUACUGAGCAGAUCUGUGGAAGAAGAUGCCAGUAUGUUUGAUGUCAUCAUUGUCAUUGAGGGAACUCUGGUGCUGCUGGGAUGUAAGAAUCUCACAAAUGCAUGCAUUUCACUCACAGGCUGCAUUUACUCCCUAAACUUAAGCUGUCCCCCAAAGCUGAGAAACACAAGUGUUUCAGAAAAUUUUUCUUGGGUUAGAUGCUUUUAAAAUUUUUCAAAAGGUUAACUCUGCAUAGAAAGCUUCAAAUGUAAUCUGCUAGUUUGGCACUACUUGCACUUAUUGUACUUUUUUUUGUUGUUGUUUGUUUUGUUUUAUGCAAGAAAGGUUGUUCACAAACAACUUCAACUACAGUACUAUUUAACAUAGCCAUUCUUAUGCAUUUUAAGUAAUACUAUUCUGCUGGAGACCAUACAGUUUUAUAAUUAUUUUAUUUGAUGUCUUUGUUCGCUUAAUUGAAUCUAAUUGAAAUUAAAAUAAGCUAAUGAAAGGCAGCUACUAGUUUGACUAUUUGCACGUUUGUUUUUGAUAUCUGCAAUUGACAUUGCUGUAAUGUUUAUGUUUAAAUGUUUAUUCAUUUUAAAAGGACUGUGUGGUUUACUGGAGUAAAUUCACUAUAGUGAACCAUAAAACUGAUGGAGUUUUACUAUUUGUUUUAUUUCAUGUUCCCAUCUUUAAGGAAUCUUAUUGAAAUAAAAGUAUUCAAGUAAAAUGUAUGUCAGUGUUAUUUUAUUGAACACCAUUUAAAUACAUAAACAACAUCAAGUAAUGUUAAAAUAUAUUUAAAGUAAAGGUUACUCAAAAUUUUAAAUAAAAUAACUAGGAUCAUUGUGUAAAAAAAUUUCAUUUAUAAGCAUUACUUAAGUAAAAUAUAUAAACAAACAGUCAAUACAAUUUACUGGAAAAUUCCAAGUAAACUUUACAUGAGAUUUUCUAAUAAAAGCUACAGUUCCUUGUGUUUAGUUUUUACUUGGGAAUUCUAUUGAA